rnacentral:rRNA from 1 species
AGUAAAAGUCGUAACAAGGUUUCCGUAGGUGAACCUGCGGAAGGAUCAUUAACGAGUUUUUGAAAGGGGUUGUAGCUGGCCGAAAAACAAGGCAUGUGCACACCCUGCUCAAUCCACUCUUAACCCCUGUGCACUUACUGUAGGCUUUGGUGGGGAUGGCUGACUUCGGUUGGCUUGAAAGCCUUGCCUAUGUCUAUUACAAACACUAAAGUAUAAGAAUGUAACAUAGCGUCUAACGCAUUAAAUACAACUUUCAGCAACGGAUCUCUUGGCUCUCGCAUCGAUGAAGAACGCAGCGAAAUGCGAUAAGUAAUGUGAAUUGCAGAAUUCAGUGAAUCAUCGAAUCUUUGAACGCACCUUGCGCUCCUUGGUAUUCCGAGGAGCAUGCCUGUUUGAGUGUCAUGGAAUUAUCCACUUUCAAAACUUUUGUUAUGGAAGCUGGGACUUGGAGGUCGUGUCGGCUUAGGUCGACUCCUCUGAAAUGUAUUAGCGUGAAUCUUACGGAUCGCCUUCAGUGUGAUAAUUGUCUACGCUGUGGUGUGAAGUAUACUAGUGUUCGUGCUUCUAACCGUCCUUCGGGACAAUUACUUGACCAUUUGACCUCAAAUCAGGUAGGACUACCCGCUGAACUAAACCAUAUCAAUAAGCG